GUGGACGAGGCGCGUUUUUAGCGUAUUAAAUUUUAAACCUGAUGCUUUUUGUUAUUCAUUAAUCAUGUGUUUCUUUGUCUAAUACGUUUUCCUAUUUAUUUGUAUUGUAGUCCUGUAAUAUUAUGUUGUCAUUUCUAUGUUAUAUUUAACAUUGCCAUUAAAGUGCGAGGUUUGGCAUGCCACAAAACCAGGUUCAACCCACCAUUUUUUCCUUUAAAAAUGUCCUGUACCAAGUCAG
rnacentral:lncRNA from 1 species